CCUGAAGUUUGCUAUGCAUAUCUCAAGAACAAAAUAAAAUAGAGCUCUAAGAUGAAAUCUUCACAAAAAAUGGCAACACACUUUUUCCGAUCUUUUCUUUUCGGACUUUUAUGCAUUGCGUUUGUCCUGGCUUCGGCAGGACCAACACCAUCAAGUUUGCACCCUUCAGGUGCUGUUAAUUGCCUUGGUCCGGUGCCAUGUGAUCAAUGCCCCCAAAGGUGCAUCGCUAUCGGAGCAAAUUCCUAUAUUUGCGGCAUACUCACUUGUUGUUGUUACUAUAAUUGAAAUAAAUUGCAUUAUAUUAUAUAUAUACUACUAUUAUAAAUACUUAUAUACUAAUAAAUAAGAAACAUCUGCCAUAUUGUGAUGUCUGAUCUCAGCAGAUGAGAAAGUACGUGGAAAUCUUGAAAGAAGAAGGACCACUGAAACUUGAGAAAGUAUUGUGUGAUAUCUGAUUUAAACACAAGCUAGAUUACUUAAGAGUUCAUUUCCAUUUACCAUAUGUGUAAAUCAGUUCAUAUCCAAUGAAAAAUUACUAUUUCACGAUAUCA